rnacentral:misc_RNA from 1 species
ACGGUGCGAGGUGCAGGCUUAAGGAGGAGUGGGUCUCGAACGAGUCUUCUUCGAAUAGACAGAUAGUCGUGGACACGGAGCGCAUACUCGGGUUCACCUGGUUGCCCGAGGAUAACUAAUAAGCCGGGACUAUUGCAGUUUAGCUGUACGAAGUGUGGAGAACAGUUUUUGAACACAGAACCGUAACAGCUAUGUGAUCCAAAGUCAAAAUUAAGCUCGAUGGGAGAGACAAAAUAUGACAAAAAACAAGCCGCGCAGUAAACUUGACCGGAAAACGAUAAUAUAACAUGACAAUUAUCAGUAAAGAAAAAAUAGUCGUCAAGACAAUCGUGAAGGUGACUAAUUGACCGUUGUAAUCGUAAUAUCAUCGAUGUUGGUGUCUUUGAUAACUUAAUAAAUAAAAUACUUCGCUUUCACCGCAGAACGGACGAACGAAUUUCUUAUACGAGAUAUACUUACCCUGCUGUCUCUUCAGCUGUUUAUAAGUGAAAGAAAGUUCCUUGAGAGAAACCUGUGUGAAGUUAACCCGGUGGAUUAGCCUCAAUUAUUACAACUGUGGUGCAAUGCGUGGGACGACAACAUGUUGGAUCCAGAUAAUAUUUGUCGCUUGCGUAACCUCAUCGCCUGGCCCGGCAACGAACAGCCCAGUAGAAGCAGUCAGCACACAUUCAAGCACUGUGUCAUCGUUUUCCGAAAACGUGGAAGUGACGGAGGGCCGAAGAUACGACGGCGAAUACGCGGUGAGUGGGAAAACAAACGAGACUGACGUGUCGUCGACGGUGAGGAAGAGGCGAUACGUUCGCUUUCCGUCGAACAAUCCAUACAAGUUCGAAAUUCCCGGAGCGGCAAACGGCCCCUUCGUCAAAUCGUACCUCGGACGUCAAUUGCCGUACCCAGUUUGGCCCGACUUCAAAUCUGUAUGGCGAAAUCCCGUCAUGGGGCAUCGGACACCCAGACUAAUUUUCCGUGACGAUUACUCCAGAGGCACUCCUGGUGGCCUAACCAGUUCUCUUUUUUCCUCCAAUCAGCUACAAGAUUCGGAUGACACUUUCAGAGUUUCAGAUCAAAGGAAGCAGAUAUCUUUCAACGAAUACCCAAGACUAGAUAUAGAAUGCGGAAUAUCCGUUUCGAAGCAAACGGCGCAGCGAAGAAUUGUGGGUGGAGACGAAGCUGGUUUCGGUAGCUUCCCAUGGCAGGCCUACAUUCGUAUCGGUUCCAGCAGAUGCGGCGGUACGCUGGUUAACCGAUUUCAUGUCGUGACGGCCGGUCACUGUGUCGCCAAAGCGUCUGCCCGACAAGUUCAAGUUACACUUGGAGAUUACGUUGUGAAUUCAGCGGCUGAACCGCUUCCGGCGUACACCUUUGGCGUGAGAGACAUCCGCGUUCAUCCCUACUUCAAAUUUACACCACAGGCGGACAGGUUCGACGUGGCUGUACUCCGGCUGGACAGGCCGGUUCAUUACAUGCCACAUAUCGCACCGAUCUGUUUGCCCGACAAGAACGAAGACUUCCUGGGACAAUACGGCUGGGCCGCCGGCUGGGGCGCACUUCAAGCUGGUAUUUAUGAUUUGGUUCUAGAUUACGCCCAAAAACAUUGCAAGCAGUCGAUGUGCCUGUGAUUGAUAACAGAGUGUGCGAGCGAUGGCAUCGUUCGAACGGCAUAAACGUUGUAAUUUAUGAUGAAAUGAUGUGUGCCGGUUAUAGCAGCGGUGGGAAAGAUUCUUGCCAGGGUGACAGCGGAGGCCCGCUGAUGCUGGAGAAGACCGGAAGGUGGUACCUGAUCGGUAUAGUUUCAGCUGGAUAUUCUUGCGCCCAGCCUGGCCAACCCGGAAUUUACCACCGUGUUGCAAAAACUGUCGACUGGAUAACG